rnacentral:rRNA from 1 species
GACGAACGCUGGCGGCGUGCCUAAUACAUGCAAGUCGAACGCUUUUUCUUUCACCGGAGCUUGCUCCACCGAAAGAAAAAGAGUGGCGAACGGGUGAGUAACACGUGGGUAACCUGCCCAUCAGAAGAGGAUAACACUUGGAAACAGGUGCUAAUACCGUAUAACACUAUUUUCCGCAUGGAAGAAAGUUGAAAGGCGCUUUUGCGUCACUGAUGGAUGGACCCGCGGUGCAUUAGCUAGUUGGUGAGGUAACGGCUCACCAAGGCCACGAUGCAUAGCGGACCUGAGAGGGUGAUCGGCAACACGGGGACUGAGACACGGCCGAGACUCCUACGGGAGGCAGCAGUAGGGAAUCUUCGGCAAUGGACGAAAGUCUGACCGAGCAACGCCGCGUGAGUGAAGAAGGUUUUCGGAUCGUAAAACUCUGUUGUUAGAGAAGAACAAGGAUGAGAGUAGAACGUUCAUCCCUUGACGGUAUCUAACCAGAAAGCCACGGCUAACUACGUGCCAGCCGCCGCCGUAA